UGAAGUUUGAUUCUAUUUAUUUUAUUCAUUUUCACUUCUCCAACUCACAUUUGUGUCAUUGGAAGAUAACAAAAAGGCACAAAUUCACAAUAACAGAAAAUGAAUAGAGGAAGCAAGUCUUUAGGGCAGAUAGAGGGAGAGACAGAGAUUGACAAACUAGGAAAGAGGGUCUGGAAAGAUGCAGAAUCAGUUUUUCCAAAGCAACCAAUCCUGGAAGUUAUCUACUGGAGGAUGAACUCCACCAUGAAAUGACCCUCCACUCAAGGUCCGACACCACUUCCUAACGACAAGGAUCAACGGACCGAUGAUACGAGCUGCCAUUUUGUCCCCUUGAGUUAGGGUUAGCGAUGUCGUUUUACGUUCAGACGACAAAAACAAGGUACAACACACUAUCCUGCCAAUAACACACAGCUAUAGGGGACGAGAAGGACACGUCACCAUCUUGUUUAUUUGCCCUUUCCUUUUAUUAUUGUCUUCUUCACACCGACCAGGAGGUCAACUGAAAGUCCAUACAUUACACAGAAACAGAAUGUCCUCAGCCAUCGUGGGACCCAGGUGGUCUUAUGUGCCACCCUCCUCAUAGAAAUGUACAGUAAACAUAUCCAUAGAAUUCAGGGUUCAUUGGACCCAUCCCUGGGCCUUAAAACCGUUUGUUACCAUGGCGUUUGGGACCAUGUCUUCAUAUAUUAUUAGAUCAUUGAGAUGUAAGAGUGUGCUGUACUUUUGGCAGGACUUACUAUAUAUAUAUAUAUAUAUAUAUAUAUAUAUUUAUAUUUAUAUAUGUGUGUUCACCGACAAUAAUUUAUAUAUUAUAUACAAUAUCGAUACAUACAAUACAUCCAAAAAUCUCAUUUCAAUUCAAUUGACACUAAUCAACAUGUUUGAAUGAUGAACAGAUAAUCAAGAUAGAGAGAGAGAGAGAGAGAGAGAGAGAGAGAGAGAGAGAGACGGCUGGAUAAAGAGGUGAAGAUCAGAUGGUGGGUUUUGGGGGUUGGAGGGUUAUAAACAUGAUCACACGGUCUCCAACGUGAUUGGUUGGAUGAAAAAAAUAAGAAUGAUAGAAAAAGCAAGUGAUAGUAAGUCAGCCUAUAACUAUCCGACAGAAGGAGUUCAAAUAGCUAAAAGCAGUGGCCUGAAACGAUGAAGAUCGAGUAAGAGGGACGGCUGGAAUAGUGGAUCUCAUGGUUACUAGAACAACACACUCCCCCAAUCAGAGGCAUCUAAAGGGACCUGGGAUAUCGCCCAUGAUGCAUUGCUCUCCCCGAUGACCUCAGCCCCACCAACACCUGAUCACAAAACCUUAUCAAUAAAAUGUAGCGCUCUCUCUCUCAAAAGGUAACCAAUUUGUUAACAUAACAUGGGGAGAGUGAUCGUUUGUGUGAGCCUCGUCAGCCUGUGUGGCUAACGCCCCCAGCGUUCAAACAGCUGUGGUUCUCCUUCAUAAUAGUUAGGCAUCGUCUGAUCAUCAAACCCUCAACACGGUACUACCACACACCUGUACAUUCAUGCAUAAGCUGACACACCACACACCAACAUGACAAACAGCUCAGUCCAACUCUCGACAGGAGACACCGCCUGCCAUACCUCCAUGUAUUGAUCAUAGAGCCGUAGCUGAUUAUUGAUACUUGGAAAUAUUCUCCGGAACCUAUAGAUCCUCUAUUUUUUACUUUACAAAUUGAAUCAAGGAGGAAGAAGAGUGAAGAAGCCCAGCGUAUUUACAGAAAUAACGGAAAGGACGUGCUGAUUAUUGCUAUAGUUGGACGAGAAUGUUCAUCCAGUGAUGAUGAGUAGGUGGAGGGAGGGCAUGUUAUUUAUAAAGCGUGUCAAUAUGCCCCCAUAUACCACAAUGCAAGAUGGCCGACACCUUUUAUCUCAAUCUGAGUGAUAAGUGAGUCUGUUAUGCUCCGUAUGUUUUCAUAAAAGGAGAAAGCAAUUUUGUAAUUUGUAAUUUAACAUUUAAUUGUAAAUAUGAUAAUCUAGUCACAAUAAAUUGUGGGUGCCAUCGUUUUUUUUAUGGAUUUGGAUUUUUUUCCUGCAUACUUAAUUAAUUUCAAAUGGUCUAUUGUUUAACAAACAAAAAUAACAAUCUCUAUUCCACCAAACACACAGAUGCAUACACACUGAGACGUACACACCACACACGCACAUACAGACACACAUGUAGACGCGCGCCCAUACAUGCACACACACACACACACACUCACACUAGCUUUAAAUAAACACAUACGUUUCUUAUUAUAAUAAUACAAAUACACCACCUGCAAACAAUGACAAUUCACUUUGACAUUUAAUGGUUACUAGAGGGGAAUCCAGGUUCAGUUGUAAUGUUGAGUUUCUGCUCUGUUACCUAUAAUAUGUACCAAGAAGAACACUGCACCAGGUAGUCCAUACAGUGUGUUCACAAAGCAUCUGCACCAUGCGGCCUCAACUCUUUACCCGGAAAAACUUCUUAGCCAAUGAAAAUGUACUCGUCAAACUAGGAUAUUCUCUGAUUGGUCAA
ensembl:lncRNA